AUUGAACGCUGGCGGCAGGCCUAACACAUGCAAGUCGAACGAAAAGAGGAAGCAGCUUGCUGCUUUGCUGACGAGGGGGGGGGGGGUGAGACAUGUCUGGGAAACUGCCUGAUGGCGGGGGAAACUUACUGGAAACGGUAGCUAUUACCGCAUAACGUCGCAAGCCCAAAGAGCAAGACCUUAAGGCCUCUUGCCAUCGGCUGAGACCUGGUGCCGCUACGCAUUAGCUAGUAGGUGGGGUAACGGCUCACCAAGGCGACGAUCCCUAGCCGAUCUGAGAGGAUGACCAGCCACACUGGAACUGAGACACGGUCCAGACUCCUACGGGAGGCAGCAGUGGGGAAUAUUGCACAAUGGGCGCAAGCCUGAUGCAGCCACGCCGCGUGUAUGAAGAAGGUCUUCGGGUCGUAAAGUACUGUCAGCGGGGAGGAAGGGAGUAAAGUUAAUCUCUGCGCGCAUUGACGUUACCCGCAGAAGAAGCCCCGGCUAACUCCGUG
rnacentral:rRNA from 1 species